AGCUGAGGCUGGAGUUGGGAGCGCGGCGCCUGUGAGGUGAGGAGAGGCCAGACCGGGCCAAACCAGGCCAGGCCAGGCGGGCGUUCGUUGCAGUGGCUGCUGUUGCAGCUGUGGUGGCCAUCGAGGACACUGGGACUUUGGGCUGACGGAGACACCCACAAUCCGGCCUCCAGUCAUCCUAGGCCAGGGUCUCCCGCCACAGGCCUGGACUAGCGCCCCAGUCUUUUACUUGGGGACCUUAAGCUCUUGUAAGAGCAGUUAUUAUCUGCACCCCGCCCUCCUUUUUUGUAGAUGAGAAAACUGAAUCCUAGAGAACCGUAGCAAAUUGCCCAAGGUGACACAAUGGUUAGCUACCAGAGUAUCAGUCUUUUCAUUUAUGUCUUUUCCUUUAUGGCAGACUACCUCCCCGAGACCCCUGACUUUUUUUUUUUUUCCUCCUGACUUUUUAAAAAUACAGUAUAGUUGGCUUCUGCUGAGGGAAGGGAUUGUGUGGAAGUAAAUCGAGGUAUUGUAAGUUGAUUUGGGAAGUUCUGUAUCAUUGUGGAUUCUUGGGAGAAUUAGCUGACUUCCCUGGUUCUGUGGUUGUGGUUGUUGUUUUGCUUUGUUUUUGUUUUUUGGGGUUUUUGUUUUGUUUUUUUCAUCUUUAAAAUGUAACUGGAUCAGAAGACUGGUACUUUAACUUCUUGUUCCUGAGCCCCUAUUCAGAACUGUGGUGAAACUCCCUCCACCUGUUGCUCUUUACCAGUCCCACACAGUCUGUUGGACCUCUACACCAUCAAAGAGUAGUUACACAUUCUUAUGCCUUAGACUGGGCCUAAAAGAUUUGAACAAUCUCUGAUAGAACUAAUUCAGUCCCUAUUAUGUGACACAGAUUUAGCCACCAGAAGGUUAAGCAGGUGGAGAAAGGUAAAAGAUAUGUGAAGAGAUUCAAUGAUUCAAAAGAAGGAAAUUGAUUUGAGUGGUCAGAGCAAAUGGCAAUCUUUAAAACAGGAACAAAAUAAAAAAAUAUUAAAACCUAGCCAUUUUAACAUUGGAGUUAGGACAUUGCAUCAAUUUUUUUCAAAAAAUGGAAAACCAAUCUGAACAAUGCUUUCUUAGGAAAAACAUGAUUGCCAAAUUAAUGCAACAGUGUACCGCAGAGGAGAUAUGCCAAAAGUUUAAACAACUCAAGAGAAUUUACCAGAACUCAGGAGGGAAGUAUAACAUAAAACUAUGAGAAACAAGAAUAGAAGACAUGGAGAAUGGAUCCAGAAAACUAAUAAUAAAUACAAGUUCCGGAAGGUCAUAAUGGAACUGACUGAGAAGGAUCAGUUAUCAAAGAAAUAAUAGAAGAAAAUUUACUAAGUUGAUGAAAAAAUUUGAAUUUAAGACUUAAAUUUAGCCCUCAGAUUUAAAGCAUUCAUGAAAUACCAAGGUAAAAAUAAAUGAACAAUCAUAGUUAGACCUGUAUUACAAUGAAAGCUUCUGAGUUUAAAAAAUUCAAAUGUGGGGGCGCCUGGGUGGCGCAGUUGGUUAAGCGUCCGACUUCAGCCAGGUCACGAUCUCGCGGUCCGUGAGUUCGAGCCCCGCGUCGGGCUCUGGGCUGAUGGCUCAGAGCCUGGAGCCUGUUUCCGAUUCUGUGUCUCCCUCUCUCUCUGCCCCUCCCCCGUUCAUGCUCUGUCUCUCUCUGUCCCAAAAAUAAAUAAAAUUUGAAAAAAAAAAUUAAAAAAAAAUUCAAAUGUGUUUGACAUGUAACAGCAAGAUGUAUAAUUUAAAAAAUUUUUAAGCUAGUUGCAGAACAAUAUAUAGAGUAUGGUUUUAUCGGGUUGCAGCAAAAAAAAUUUUUUUCAUAUGUAUAUUUCUCUAUGAAUACACCCAAAAAAGGUAUGGAACUAUAUACAUAACCAAACUUUUUAAUUAUAGUGGUUGUCUUUGUAGAAGAGAGUAGAUUUAAUGGGAGAGAUUGAAACAUCUUUAUAGUUCUAUAUUUUUAAUUCUUAUAGUAGGAAUUUGGUCACAUAUGGGUAAUCCAAAAAACAAAAAACAUUUGGAUAAUGGGAAAGGGAGGAAUUCAAUUUCUAAAACCAAAAAUUUUACAGGUCACGUUUGCUGAGCACAAAGUAGUAAAACUAGAAGUAAAUAAUCACAAAUUAAGCAAAAUUCUAGCUACUUAGAAUUUUCUUAAAACAUAAAUUUUAGGGGCGCCUGGGUGGCGCAGUCGGUUAAGCGUCCGACUUCAGCCAGGUCACGAUCUCGCGGUCCGUGAGUUCGAGCCCCGCGUCGGGCUCUGGGCUGAUGGCUCAGAGCCUGGUGCCUGCUUCCGAUUCUGUGUCUCCCUCUCUCUCUGCCCCUCCCCCGUUCAUGCUCUGUCUCUCUCUGUCCCAAAAAUAAAUAAACGUUGAAAACAUAAAUUUUAAAUAAUUCCUAGGUCAAAAAAAUAAAGCUAAGAGUGUGGAUUCUUUAAAAAUUAAAAUUAAUGAAAAUAUUGCAUAACAAAAUGUAUCAUUAAAGCAGUACUCAGAGGAAAAUUUAUAGCCUGAGUGCUUUUAUUACUAAUUAAAAUUGUUUUUUAAUGUUUACUUAUUUUUGAGAGACACAGGAUGUGAGCAGGGGAGGGGCAGAGAGAGAGAGAGAGAGAGAGAGAGGGAAACAGAAUAUGAAUUAGGCUCCAGGCUCUGAGCUGUCAGCACAGAGCCCUACGAGGGGCUGGAACUCCUGAGCUGCAAGAUCACAACCUGUGCUGAAGUUGGACGUUUAACUGAGCUACCCAGGCGCCCCUUACUAAUUUUAAAAGAAUGCAAUCCAUGAAAUGCCCUACUGGGUAUUUACCCAAAAAAUACAAAAAGACUAAUUCAAAAGGGAUACAUGCACCAUCCCUGUGUUUAUUGCAGCAUUACUUACAAUCACCAAACUGUGGAAGCCGCCCAAGUGUCCAUCGAUAGAUGGAGAAGAAAGAUGUGAUAUUGUGUGUGUGCGCGCGUGUGUGUGUGUAUACACACACACAUAUAUGUGUAUGUAUAUGUGUGUAAAUACAUAAUAGAAUAUUAUUCAGCCAUAAAGAAUGAAAUCUUGCCAUUUGCAACAACAUAGUUGGAGCUAGAGAGUAUAAGGCUAAAUGAAAUAAGUCAGAGAAAGACAAAUAACAUGAUUUCAUUUAUAUGUGGAAUUCAAGAAACUAAUGAGCAAAUGGAAAAAAAAAAAAAAAGAGGCCAAGCAGACUCAUAACUGUAGAGAACAUACUGAUGGUUACUAGAGGGGAGGUGGGUGGGAGAAUGGGUGAAAUAGGUGAUGAAGAAGGAUUAAGGAGUAUACUUAUACUGAUGAGCACUGAGUAAUGUAUAGAAUUGUUGAGUCGCCAUAUUGUACACCUGAAACUAAUAUAACGCUAUGUUAAUUACACUGAAAUUAAAAUUAAAAACUUCAUUUAAAUAAAAACUUUUAAGAACUUAAGAUUUUUAAAGAACAAUAAUAUGCUAAGCAUUAAACAAGAGUAGAAAAUGGAAGAAAUAAAGAUGAAAUCAGAGAUUAAUAAAAGAAAAAGAAUAGCACUUGAUAAAUAAAUGGGAGAGCUCAUUCUUCAGAAAUAAAACAGACAUUAAAAAUAGACACAUUCCCAGAUGCCUGUGUGGCUCAGUCGUUUAAGUGUCCUACUCUUGAUUUUGGCUCAGGUCAUGAUCUCACAGUUUGUGAGUUCAAGCCCUGCAUCGGGCUUCUCGCUCACAGUGCAAAGCCUGCUUGAGAUUCUCUCUCUCUCCCUCUCUCUGUUCCCUCUCUGCUCCUUGUUCUCUCUCUCUCACUCUCUCAAAAUAAAUAAAUAAACUUAAAAAAAAAUAGACACACUUCAGGAGCAUCUGGCUGACUCAGUCGGUAGAGCAUGCAACUCUUGAUAUCGGGAUUGUUUCUUCACCAGUCAUAUCAGUAAAUUAUGCCAUCAUCUAAGUCAAAACCCAGGAGUUACCCUUAAUACCUACCCCUCCCCCACUCCCCACAUUUAAUCCAAUAUCAGGACAUGUCUCUUUUAUCUCUGCAGUGGACAGCUAUGGAAUUAAUUACCCCAACAUUCUCACCUUUUCUCUUGAAAAGUGCCCCCCCCCCAUUCUCACUUGGAAGUACCUUUUCUUUUUGUCUUUCCUUUUUUUCUUAUUUCAUUUGCUAUUUUUCCCUCAGGUGCAGAGAUUUGAGGCAAUCAUGCUAUUUGUCCACCUUGUCAUCAACAAGUCCUUUCUCAUUUUAUCUUUUUUCCCUUCAAACCAGUUACUUAUGUUCCUUCCCUCCCUUCUUAGGUAGCCAGUCUAAUGUGUUUGAUAUAUGUCUUUGGAUAUACAUGUAUCUUUGAAUAGUAUAGUUUCAUGUGCAUGUCUUAAAUGUGCAUAAUUGAUACUGUGUCAUAGAAAUCAUUGUUUCUUCUUCAUGUUUCUGUAAAUACUUCUGACUGUUGCAUGGUAUUAUCUUAAAUGACUUCACAUCCUUGACUGCUGGUCCUGGGCCAAGAUGUGGCAAUCAGAAUCCUUACCCAGAAUUUUUGAACUGAAACUAAGGAAAAAAUCCCUUUCCAGUGUGGAAACCAUAAAAUGUAAAACACAGGAGCUGUCAGCAGCCAAAUGUCCUGCCAUGUGGAACCAGCUGGUCUGCAAUGAAAAAGAAUGAAGCCAACAUGCAGAAAACAGCAGACGUGAGAAACAAUGAGAAAGUCCUGGAAAAAUCUCAAGUCCCUGGUUCCAGUUGUUCCUGAAGCUCCAUAUUCCUGCCCUUCCCAUGUUUCAAAUCUUCUUGGAUUCCGUGAGCCAGUAAAUGCUGUCACCUCCACCUUGUGCCUAAGCCAAUUCAUAUUGGGAUUCUGUGACUUGCAACCAAGAGUCCUAAUUAUAAUCUCCAAAAU
rnacentral:lncRNA from 1 species